rnacentral:rRNA from 1 species
GCGAAAACUUUACAAUGCGGGAAACCGUGAUAAGGGAACUCCGAGUGCCCGUAAAAUCGGGCUGUCCAUCUGUUUAAAUAACAGGUGAAGAAAGGGCCGGGCAAGACCGGUGCCAGCCGCCGCGGUAAUACCGGCGGCUCGAGUGGUGGCCACUAUUAUUGGGCUUAAAGCGUUCGUAGCUGGGUUGUUAAGUCUCUUGGGAAAUCUACCGGCUUAACCGAUAGGCGUCCAAGGGAUACUGGCAAUCUAGGGACCGGGAGAGGUGAGGGGUACUUCAGGGGUAGGAGUGAAAUCCUGUAAUCCUUGGGGGACCACCUGUGGCGAAGGCGCCUCACCAGAACGGCUCCGACAGUGAGGGACGAAAGCUGGGGGAGCAAACCGGAUUAGAUACCCGGGUAGUCCCAGCCGUAAACGAUGCGCGUUAGGUGUAUCGAUGACCACGAGUCAUCGAGGUGCCGAAGGGAAACCGUGAAACGCGCCGCCUGGGAAGUACGGUCGCAAGGCUGAAACU